rnacentral:rRNA from 1 species
CGCGUAGGUGGUUUGGUCAGUCAGAUGUGAAAGCCCCGGGCUCAACCUGGGAAUUGCACCUGAUACUGCCAGGCUAGAGUACGGUAGAGGGUAGUGGAAUUUCCGGUGCAGCGGUGAAAUGCGUAGAGAUCGGAAGGAACACCAGUGGCGAAGGCGACUACCUGGACCGAUACUGACACUGAGGUGCGAAAGCGUGGGUAGCAAACA